rnacentral:lncRNA from 1 species
GGGGUCAAAUCGGAGCUACAGCUGCCGGGCUACACCACAGCCAGAGCAAUGCAGGAUCCAAGCUGUGUCUGCGACCUACACCACAGCUUCCGGCAACACUGGACCGUUAAUCCACUAAGCAAGGCCAGGGAUCGAACUGACAUCCUCAUAGAUACUAGUCGGAUCUGUUUCCUCUGCACCACAAUGGGAACUCUGGCUAAAAGCAUAUUUAUAAGACAGUUUAGAUGCUCAGAUUUUGUCCAACACACACAACCAGGCAACCUACCUCUUGCCAUUCCUAAGGGAGCAUUAGACAUUCAUUCUCCGGAAAAACUAACCCACGGAGGUCCUGGGAGCAGGAAAAAGCAGGCUUACUAGAGGAUGUGAGUAAGGAUAAGGGCAAAGCAAAUGGCUUAAGUGACAGUCUAUAUGCUGAAUGGUGGGACCCCUCCUUUUUCCAUUCUGUCCCAGAAAGUCAACAGCCCAGGCAGCAGAUUACAAAGAAAGCCCAUAAAUACCGAUCUCUGGAGGUUUCUUAAAGAAAAAGCUUCACCCUCUUCUUCCAACACCUUACAAGGAAGUACAACGGUCAAUGUGCUCUCUCCAUACACACAGAGUCUCCCUUAGAGUCUCACUUUAUAAUAUGAACAGACAGCCAAAGAUCACCAGAUCUUCAGAGGAGAAAACCUGUGUACCAGUCAGGGUCUCGGCAGAAAACAGACAGCACCUCCAACUGAGCAGCAGAAUUUCAUAAGGAGCCAUUCACAGAGGCAUGGACAAUGCCUAGGGAAACCAACAAGGGCAACUAGAUAAAGCGAGAGCUUUGCCACCUCUAAGCUGGUAGAGGCAAGGGAAGGGAACAGUAAGGAGAACCAGAGAGGGUGUAGUGAUAGAGAGGGAUGCCAGAGUGGAGCUGUGGGCCUUGACAAGGGAGGGAGCUCUGGCAAACAAGCCGGGUGGGAGCUGGAGGAAUAAAUAUGGCUCUCACUCUUUUCCAGUUCUCAGAUCUCCUGAUGUGCCUUUCAUUAGCUGAAUCCAAUCAGGAGCCAGAGGGCAAGGGAGCCUGAUGACAUAGGCCACAAAGGUGGGGAGAGGGGUGGCGCACGGAAGGGCAGAAAAGAGUAGAGAGCAUUUCUGGAGGGCAAAUAAAAAACAUCCGGCAUAGUCUCCAAUACGUAAGACAGAAUCCCAAAAGAAGAAACAGAGAAAAGUAGAAGAAACAGAAACAAGGCAGAGAGCAAAAGAAUAUUCUUUAAAACCCUACAAUAUCCAUUGAGAAAUGAUAGGUGAUAUGAACAAGAAUAGGAAAUUAUUUUUUUUAAGGAACUGAAAAAUAAGAAGGAGCCCUUGGAAAUUAAAAAUGAUAACUUCGGAGUUCCCGUUGUGGCGCAGUGGUUAACGAAUCUGACUAGGAACCAUGAGCUUGCGGAGCUGGAACAGACUUUGAAGAUUAUCUUACCCAAUUCUCUUAUUUCACCCACAAGAAAAACGACAUCCAGAGAAGGAAAGUGGCCUGCCCAAGGUGACAGCAGCUAGUCUUGUACGUAGGUCCCUUGGCUCAGGACUCUUUCUACUACAUGGUGCAGCUUCUUAAUGAACAAACACAUCUAUGAAUGAUCUAAUGGGCAAACAGAAUGUUGCUGAAGCCUUGCUCAGCAAGAGCCCUUCAGACUGAAUAGUCAUAGCUGCUCUGCAUUUCAGGGCUUAGGUGCACUGGGAAGAAUAGGAGAUUCCACGGAGGCGAGAGGCUGCAGAGACAGGGGCCACUGGGGAGUUAUUUAGGGGCCUUGGUGCCAGCUGAGGCCUGUGGGUGCCAGCUGAGGCCGGUGGAUCUGGGCGUUCACAGUGAGAUAGCAGGGAGCCACCCAGGCUCAGGAAGCUUGCUCCCAUUUAAGGAAGGACAGAGCAGGCUCACGGGCCUGAUUCCUUGGCCACUUUUAAGGCUGCCCCAUGCCACAUAUGGUUCCCUAGGUGCUCUGCUCUGAGGACAGACUGGGAUAGGCUGGCCCCUGCCCCACCAGAUAAGUACAAUAGUUGCUGUUGCUUUUUCCUGUCUCCUGAAGUCCCAAGCAUGCUAUAAGCUUAAGGUGCUGCUUGACAUGCUAAUUAAGCCAAAGCCUGACCUCAGCAAGGAGCAUGUGGUGAGGGGGGAAUGUGCAUACCUCAGAGUCAGCAAAUGAACCCAGGCUUCAGUUCUUUGAGUCUCCCUUUUCUUAAUUGGAAAACAGGUAAUUCCUAUCUAUUUUCUACAUUGCCUAGGGAUGACCUAAUAAAAUGAUGUAUGCAAAAUGCUCAGAAAAGUGCCAACACUUAGUAGGGACCCACUACUGUCAGUUCUUUUGUUUUUUAAAAAGGUUAUUAUCCUUAAAAAAAAGUCUUUUAUCUUCUGCAAUUAUCAACUUUGGAGUGUCUUCCUAAAUAACCCUUAAUGGCGCCACAAUGUCUACAGUAAAGUUAACACCACCGGAGACCUGGCCUUAACUGACCCUCUGCUGUCUUGCUGGCUGACCACUUGUACCUCAACCAUGAUUCACACUUCAAAGCCUUCCUUCCCUUUGCUCGUGUUGAUCCCUCAGCAUGGAACACUCUUUACCCUUCCUCCCCUCAGGAGCCCCCUCUCCCCUGAGGAUUUCCAAAAUUAAUCAUUCCUUCCUCUUUCCGCUUUCUUCUAAUUCUUGUCACUCUCUGCUUUGCACUCAUUCAUUUGUCCAUUCAGUGUUUAAGUGUAUAUCACGUGCCAGGUUUCAGUCACAGCUCUCUUUCCUAUUAAAUGUGAAUUCCAUAAGGGAAGAAUAUUUGCUAUGUUCCUCCACAGCACCCAGGAUGCCACAGCGCACUUUAUCAGCCACUAGCAAGCAAGCUGAUGGGAGGGAACGAGGAAAAUACUGUAUGUAAUAUUCAUACGAAGCACCGACUGCAUACAAGGCAAAUGUAGACAGUACAGGCCUGUUAAGAUGUACAACACAGUCUUUGGACAUGAGGACAGACAUGAGUGGUGGAGCAGACUUUCGAAAUAUUUCCCAGAUGGGGAUCCUAAGACCCAAAGAGGCAGACAGCCUGCCAGGGUCACACAGAGAGACAGAGGCAGACAGAG